rnacentral:rRNA from 1 species
AGAGUUUGAUCCUGGCUCAGGACGAACGCUGGCGGCGUGCUUAACACAUGCAAGUCGAGCGGUAAGGCCCUUUCGGGGGUACACGAGCGGCGAACGGGUGAGUAACACGUGAGUAAUCUGCCCUCCACUUUGGGAUAAGCCUCGGAAACGAGGUCUAAUACCGGAUACGACCGCUUCCUGCAUGGGAUGGUGGUGGAAAGUUUUUUCGGUGGGGGAUGUGCUCGCGGCCUAUCAGCUUGUUGGUGAGGUAAUGGCUCACCAAGGCUUCGACGGGUAGCCGGCCUGAGAGGGUGACCGGCCACACUGGGACUGAGACACGGCCCAGGCUCCUACGGGAGGCAGCAGUGGGGAAUAUUGGACAAUGGGCGGAAGCCUGAUCCAGCAACGCCGCGUGAGGGAUGACUGCCUUCGGGUUGUAAACCUCUUUCAGUGGGGACGAAGCGCAAGUGACGGUACCCGCAGAAGAAGCACCGGCCAACUACGUG